rnacentral:lncRNA from 1 species
AUCCGUGGGAACACAGGUUCGAUCCCUGCACUCUCCCAGCUAGGGGUCUAAUCAGAGCGGUUGCUGCCGGCCUACACCACAGCCAUAGCAAUGCCAGGUCCUUAACCCAACGAGUGGGGCAAGGGAUCGAACCUGCAACUUCGUGGUUCCUAGUCGGAUUCGUUUCCAUUGUGCUAUGAUGGGAACUCCUAUUUUUAAUGUUUUAGUUUUUUAAUUUUACUUGACUUAAUUUUUUAUGGUUUUCUUCUAUUUUUUAUUUAUUUUUAAUUUUUUAGUUUUUUAAAUUUUAGUUGCUGUCAUUUUCUGCUAUACAGUAAAGUAUCCCAGUUAUACACACACACACAUAUGUAUAUAUAUAGAUACACACAUUCUGUUUUUCACAUUAUCCUCCAUCAUGUUCCAUCAAAAGUGAUCAGAUACAGUUCAUACGGUAUUUUUAAAUUGUCUCCUCUUGUUCCCUCCCUCUGAAAGGUGAGUUCCAGGAAGGCAAGGAUUCUAGUCUGUUCUCUUUAUUGAUGAACCCCUAUAUCCUCUAAAGUGCUUGACACACUCAAAAACCCUGGGAAUGAAUAAUCCUAAUAGAGCUGGGAAAAGGAUUUGAAAAGAAAGUUGUAUGUGAACCAAACCAAAGAAGGGAUGGAAAUUUGCAGGGGGGAUACAGGCUUCCAGUAGAAGGAUAAACCACUAGAAAAGGCACCAACCACAUGCCUAGGAAGUUAAGAGUGGCUGGGGUGGCUAGAGAGCCAGGGUUAUGGGGGUAGAAAGGGUGCAGGAUUGAGGAAGAUGGCGGGGAAAUAGGAAAUGAAAGAAGUUAGGGCCGGAUGGCAAAGGGCCUGAUAAAAAUUAAAAUUAGCAGACAGAUGAGUUUGCUUUGCUAAAUCAAAAGGAGGAUUUUCUUUCUUAAAGGCAGUGACUCUUUUCCCGACUUUUAUGACUUUUGCUUAGAAACCAAAUCUUCAAAGCUACUAAUGAUGUCAACCUUUCAGAAAGCCAGCUGUCCUCAUUUUUGUAAUUGAGGUCAUAUUCACACCACCGAAUCUGUGCUAAGGUUCAGCAGCAGAGGGUGAUGAUGGGAAAGUGGUGUGACAGUGGACAGUCAACUGUGAUUAGCCAGGGCUGUUUCAGUUUGUGAGCAUGAAGUUGUCAAGGUGUGUGUGACCACACCUCCCUGUGUUAGGCCAGCUGAGGAACCUGGGGAGGGAUCGGCGCUUGGGAGCAUUAUUCUCUUGAAUGGUGAAUGAUGGUAGAGCCAGCCCUGAUAUUGGUGAAUAAGGUGGAGGGAGAUGUCACAGAUGCCAUCAACUUCCAUGAAGAUGCAGUCUGGUGAACUGGGAAAGUAAUGACCGGAAGAGGCAGUGAGGAGAAGGACAGCAGGAGAGCAGGACCAUCUCAGCCUCUGGUCCUGAUGUUGGAGAAGGAGCAGCUGCACUGGGAAGAUUUUGAGGAUAAAUUUUGAGCUUGAGGAAAAUGAAGUUACAUUUAACGUGAGAAAAUAAAAGAGAAAUGUGAUUGAUUCUGUAGUGUGUAACACAGAUAAUGAGAUAUGAUAUCACUUACAUGUAGAAUCUAAAAAUAUGAUACAAAUGAACUUAAUUGCAGGACAGAAACAGACUCACAGAGUCUGAAAACAAACUUAUGGAUACCAAAGGGGCAGGUGAUAGGGAGAGGGAUGACUGGGGGUUUGGGACUGGCAUGUGCACACUGUGGUAUAUGGAAUGACCGGCCAACAGGGACCUGCUAUAUAGCACAGAGAACUCUAUCCAACAUUCUGAGAUCAUCUAUGUGGGAAAAGAUUCUGAGAGAGAACAGAUGUGUGUACAUGUAUAACUGGAUCACUUUGUUGUACAGCAAAAAUCAUCACAACAUUGUAAAUCAACUAUAGUUCAAUAAAACUUUAAAAAACGAAUAAAGCAAAAAAAAAAAAAAAAAAAAAAAA